GAGCAACUAUGACCGAUAACCAAAAGGCCUGGUGGCAGCAAUGGACAGACACAGCCAAUGUCAAACAUCUGAAGCUGCUGAACACGCAUGAGCCCUACAGGCCAGAGGAACACGUGCUCAUCAACCGCCGGGACAUCACUAGCAAAAAGGAUGCCUGGGACAUGCAGGAGUUCAUCACUCGCAUGUAUAUCAAGCAGCUGUUACGACACCCGGCCUUCCAGAUGUUGCUGGCCGUGCUGCUGGUGGUCAAUGCCAUCACCAUCGCCCUCCGCACCAAUUCCGUCCUUGACCAGAAACACUAUGAGUUGUUCUCUACCAUAGAUGACAUUGUGCUGACCAUCCUUAUCUGUGAGGUUCUCCUCGGCUGGCUCAAUGGCUUCUGGAUUUUCUGGAAGGAUGGCUGGAACACCCUCAACUUUCUUAUCGUCUUCAUCUUGCUCAUGGGGUUCUUCAUUAACGAACUCAGUGUCAACAGUAUCACCUACACCCUCAGGGUGCUUCGUCUGGUACACGUGUGCAUGGCAGUGGAGCCCCUGGCCCGGAUCAUCCGCGUCAUCCUGCAGUCGGUGCCCGACAUGGCCAAUAUCAUGGCCCUCAUCCUCUUCUUCAUGCUGGUGUUCUCUGUGUUUGGAGUCACACUCUUCGGUGCAUUCGUGCCCACGCAUUUCCAGAACAUACAGGUUGCCCUGUACACCCUCUUCAUCUGCAUCACCCAGGAUGGCUGGGUGGACAUCUACAGUGACUUCCAGAUGGAGAAGAGGGAGUAUGCGAUGGAGAUCGGAGGUGCCAUCUACUUCACCAUCUUCAUCACCAUCGGUGCCUUCAUUGGCAUUAACCUGUUCGUUGUGGUGGUGACCACCAACCUGGAGCAAAUGAUGAAGGCAGAAGAGCAGGGGCAGCAGCAUCAAAUAACCUUCAGUGAGACAGGCGUAGAGGAGAAAGACGACAGUAACGAGCUGUCACUGGUGCACUGUGCAGUCGUCCGCUUGGAGAAAUCUGGUCACCCCCAGGAACCGCUUGUGGGGGGUCCACUGUCGAACCUCUCGGAAAACACGUGCGACAACUUUUGCUUGGUGCUCGAGGCAAUACAGGAGAACUUGAUGCAGUACAAGGAGAUCCGAGAUGAGCUCAACACGUAGGGGGGGUACUGGGGGUACCCCCACGUCCCGUGAGUCAGGGCUGGGCGGUGCCUCAGCUUCUUCUGGCCUCACGUCCUCACCAUUUUGUAAUGCAGACCCUGGGGCCCAGAAGGGUUAAAUGACUUGCUCAGGGUCCUCCUCCUGUGGAGGAGCUGGACUCCAGACCUCCGGGUUCCUCCCAUCUCACACGAGGGCACAACUCGGCCUGGGCCUCUGUCAGGGCUGCAGGGAAGGGCGAAGUGGGGGUGGUGGGCGCCAGGGAAGAGGUGGGAGGGCUGCCCCUCCCCCACGGCCCGUGGAAGGCACUCACCACUCUGCCCCCAGCGUCGUGGAAGAGGUGCGCUCCAUCCGCUUCAACCAGGAGCAGGAGAAGGAGCUGAUGCAAAAGCGCGUGUCGGUGAGCCUGUCAUUAGAGAACGGGUCCUCCCUGGACAUCCGCGAGAUGACUAACCAGCAAGACUUGUUCACUGCGCUCGUUAACAUGGAAAAGGUUCAUGAUUCUAACACAAAUAUACUCCUUAACAAACACAAGAGCAGCCGCUGAGAGGCAGGAAGGGAGCCGUGGGAGCACAAACACCCAGUGCUGCAUCUUCCUGCAUUCCUGGCAUGGCUUGGCACAUCCUGGCCCAAGCUCAUCCUCUCCCUUACACCCGGGCAGAGGCCAGGGGCUGUGAGAGUAGCAGCAGCUGCAGGGCUUGUGCCUGUGAGCCCCAGGUCCAGAGGAGCCAGGCUGGAGAAGGAUGCUGGAUGAGAGUGGGAGCCCUAGCAGCAAGGACAAGCACAGAAGAGGGGUGCUGGCCAACGUAGCCAGGGUUUGGUCAAAGGGUGGCUAUCCCUGGCCCCCUGCUCUAGCCCAGAGCUGAGUGGGGCCUGAGUGGGCCCAAGCACCAA